rnacentral:rRNA from 1 species
ACUCCUACGGGAGGCAGCAGUGAGGAAUAUUGGGCAAUGGAGGCAACUCUGACCCAGCCAUGCCGCGUGCAGGAAGACGGCCCUAUGGGUUGUAAACUGCUUUUAUACAGGAAGAAACGGCAUCUAACGUGUAGGUGUUUGACGGUACUGUAAGAAUAAGGAUCGGCUAACUCCGUGCCAGCAGCCGCGGUAAUACGGAGGAUUCGAGCGUUAUCCGGAAUCAUUGGGUUUAAAAGGGUCCGUAGGCGGUCUUAUAAGUCAGUGGUGAAAUCUUCCAGCUCAAGCUGGGAAACUGCCAUUGAUACUGAUAGGACUUGAAUAUUUGUGGAAGUAACUAGAAUAUGUAGUGUAGCGGUGAAAUGCUUAGAUAUUACAUGGAAAUAUCAAUUGGCGAAGGCACGGUUACUAACAGAUUAUUGACGCUGAUGGACAAAGCGUGGGUAGCGAAACAGGAUUAGAUACCCUGGUAGGCAAGCGU